AUGCAGAGGGGACUGGGGGCUCUGCUGGGGCUUCUGUGGGUGCAGCUUUGCUGUGUGAGAGGGCAGCAGGUGGAGCAGAGUCCUUCAGCCCUGAGGCUCCAGGAGGGAACCAGCCCUACUCUGAGGUGCAAUUUUUCCACUACCAUGACCAGUGUGCAAUGGUUUCAACAGAAUCCUGGGGGCAGCCUCAUCAAUCUGUUUUACCUGACUCCGGGGAAAAAGCAGGAGGGAAGGUUAAAGGCAACAAUGAAUUAUCAGGAGCGCUACAGCACACUGCACAUCUCCACCUCUCAGCUGGAAGACUCAGGCACCUACUUCUGUGCAGGGAGACACAGUGCUCCCAGGAGACCUGCAGCCUGUCCUCAAACUGCAGCUGCACCUGCAGCCACAGCCUCUUCCUCUGGCAGGACUUGCACAACUGUCUGUACAGCUAUGAGUGUCCUGAUUCAUGUCGUUAUGCUGUUACCUCUGCUCACAGGAGACAUCUCAGCACUUUCAUCACUUGGGUUGGACCCUUUUUCUCCUAAAAAAUUCAUUUCCAAGGAAAAAGAUUCUUUUAUGGAAUCACUGGAGGUUCUGAAAAGAAUGUCAGUAUCCAAGUACUUUUAA